GCUUAACGCUGGCGGCGUGCAUAACACAUGCAACUCGAACGAUGAAACUUUAAUGAACCCUUCGGGGAGAAUUAAAGCGGAUUAGUAGCGAACGGGUGAGUAACGCGUGAGUAAACUGCCUUACACAAGGGGAUCGCCUUUGGAAACGAAGAAUAAUACCCUAUAACAGCAUAAAAGCACCAGAAAUUAUGGUCAAAGUGAUAGCGCUGUAAGAUGGACUUGCGUCUGAUUAGCUCGUUGGUGAGAUAAAAGCCCACCAAGGCAACGAUCAGUAGCCGGCGUAAGAGAGUCUACGGCCACCUGGGGACGGAGACACGGCCCAGACUCCUACGGGAGUCAGCAGUGGGGAAUUUUCCACAAUGGGGGAAACCCAGAUGCAGCGACUCCGCGUGAUUUAGAAGGCCUUCGGGUUGUAAAAAUCUUUUGUAUAGGAAGAAAAUGACAGUACUAUACGAAUAAGUUCCGGCUAAUUACGU
rnacentral:rRNA from 1 species